rnacentral:lncRNA from 1 species
CUUUUUUUUCUUUGUCUUUCUUUUUUUUAUUGUUUUAGCAGGAUCGACCUCGAUUCCUCUUUUGUUCACAAUAAACCUCAGCAGUUUACCGGACAGCACUCCACAAGUGCACUGAUUCGGACUCAACCUCAGUCUGAGUUGUCUCAACCGGUCAAACAACUUGCCCCGGAUCCACCAGAUGCCCUUCUUCUGUUUGGGACUUUGCUAUCAUGUCAUC